rfam:Cronobacter sakazakii ATCC BAA-894, complete genome.
UUUAUCUUGUCGGAGUGCCCAGUGCGACAGCACGGGCUGAGACCGUUAAUUCGGGAUCCGCGGAACCUGAUCAGGUUAAUACCUGCGAAGGGAACAAGAGUAAUUCCAUU